AAUUCCCCAGUUUUACGUGAGAGAAAGGGAAUGCGAGGCACACGUAAGGCAUGGCACAGGCCGUGUAGCAGACUAAGAGACGAGGCUUGGGUUGAGAGCCUUUUAAAGUCUGUGUUGGAGCUAUUCAUCGCGUGGGUGAUGUGCGUUUCCCCGGGGGUUCAGGUCAGGGUGAUGGGAGCUAGCUCCUUAUCUGCUGUACAGGAUCAGGAUGAAAAGGACCUGGAAAGGUGAUGAGUGAUUCAUGUGAAUCUCAUUAAACCUGGCCUCCAAUUCAGUUGUUCUUCAGUGCUAAUGGAAAUAAUUUCUCAUUUACAUGGACAGUCUUGAGGUGACAAUCCGAGUCAAAGCUGCCCUUUGGAAAAAAAAAUGGGGAACAAAGAGAUGACAUAGACUUUAAUUCCAGAAAAUGUCACUCUCCAGUGAGAGAAACAAGGUCUUCCCAAACUUUGCUGGCGACAGAAGCCAAGGAAGGGUAAUUGAUGAACCAUCAUGCAGAUGUUUACAGAGCCGUUAAGAUUUGUGUGAAGACUGUUCAACCCUGAAAAUGCAGUGUUUUCUGCAAGGAAGAAACUGUCACGUCAGUGAGAGACCUUUUCAAAUUCUCUUCCCAUCAGUGUAAUCCUUCAGACCUGAGAGUGACCUGCAAAUUACGCACCUGCACUUCCUGGGUGAUAGAGUGCUCAGUGCAAUGGACUAGGCUAUUUUUUCCUGUGUGACUUUUUUUUUUUUUUUUUUUAAGAAGUAAUAUGUCCAAGUCUAUGACUGGACUGAUACAGAAAGAUAAAGUCACCAUGUACAUGUGUAACAGAGUC